ensembl:lncRNA
AGUAGAUAGCGUUGAGCUCCUGAGGACUUUUACUUGUGCUUUUGUGAAGCAAGAGGUUGCACCAGGAAUGUUGGUGAGGGUAAGACAGAUGUCUCAUCUAGAGCAGAGCUCAGUGUUAGUUAUGGCAUCUGUAGGCUAACUGUAGACAAAGAUGUCUGAAUGCAGACUAUGCUGCUGAGAGAACAGAAUCAAUGACUUCUACCCCCAGGCGUUUCUGCUACAUAGGACAGUGACAUGGAAUGACAGUGAUUGCAAAUAUUGAGGGGUUAUUUGUAAAAUGAUGAACGAUGGAAGUUUGUCUGCCCAUAGCUUACAUUACAGACAGAUCCAGGAAGUCUGCACAGGUUAGAGAGGCAUUUCUUUUGGACCCAGCCAGUAUUUGUGGCUCCCCAUCACUAAGUGCCCUCUGCUUCCUGUGACAAUCAUUUUUUCUGACAGAGCUGAAAGUGUUAGACUGCUAGACAGAAGGCACUUCAGAUGAGGAAUCGUGAGAUGACGCCAAGCUGCUUCUCUUUGGAAGGUACUGGCUUCCGGUGUAGGGCUAAGGACAUCAGUGUCACAACUGUCAAACCUCAGCUAUCCUGAAGGGCAGUGUCCAUGAUUCUCAGAGUUUACUGGUUUGGUUGUUUUGGUUUGGUUUGGUUUUUGAGACACGGUUUCUCUGUGUAGCCCUGGGUGUCCUAGAACUUGCUCUGUAGACCAGGCUGGCCUCGAACUCACAGAAGUCUGCCUGCCUCUGCCUUUUGAGUGCUGGGAUUAAAGGCUUACAUCACUGAUUCCCCCCCCCCCCAAGAAACCCUAUACAUUAUCUGACUAGCUGCUUAUAGAAUUUCCUGAAAACUGAAUUUCAGUGUAUUUUUAAAAAUGUAAAACCUGAGAUGUCAUGUACAUAUUGGAAGUGAAACGUUGCUUUAAUAUACAGGCCCAAGUUUCCCUCUCUUAACACAGAAGCAAUAAACAGUGUUUCCCUUUAAAAAAAAUAAUUGAUAUUUUUGAAACAGGACAUUUUUUUAUGCCCUGACUGUUCUGGAACUCACUAUGUAAACUAGGCUGUCCUUGAACUCUCAGAGAUCUGCCUGCCUCUGUGUCAUGAGUGCUGGGAUCUGCGAGCCACCAUGUUUGGCUGAUGUUUCCCUUCUAGAAGAGACAAUUUGUUAAAUUUUCACCUUUCCUGCUAGUCAAAGUAGAAAUAUUAGAGACUCCAAGUCACCAAAAUGUGAAACUAAAUUGAGACUAUCUGACCUUUAGUGAUGACAGAUAUCUUUAGACCGUAUCAAUAUUUAAGUAGGUGGUUGGCAUAUCUCAGUCUUCGUGCCUCGUGACAGGGUCUCGCUCUGUAGCUCACUGUGUAGGAUAGGUUGACCUUGAGUCUAUGGUGAGCCUGUCUCAGCCUCCCAAGUGCUGAGAUUACAGGCAUGCACUACGCCUGCCCGUCUCUGUGCAACUACUUAUCCACACUAAUACAUCGAGGAUUAAUCAUUUCCAGGAUGUAGCCAUCUCUGCGGAGAUCUUUAAACACAGAAGUUGUGGUAGUUAAUGAUGCACAUAGACCGAAUCGCACAUAGAGAAGGAGAACAAAACCAGAUUAACCCUUUAUUAGUGCCAUGGUUCUUAAUUGCAGUGGUUCAUUUAGUAUUUUCUUUCUAAAAGGUCUACAGCGAACCCACAAGGCACAGUCAGAAUUAUAGGUUGAUUAACAAUAAAUGUAUCCAUUCGGCGUGUGGCUGAAAAGCUGUUCUCUGUGUUCACUCUUUUGAGGGCAUUAUCCUGGACAGGCCCCAAAGGCUGUGGUCACACCACAGGGUAGCAGGGGACUGGGAGAGCACAGGGUGGGGGAUGGGCAUUUCCACAUAGGCUCUAGGCUCGGAAGCUUUACAUCCUUGUGUUCUACAAAGAUCACUAAUGGUCAAAUGGGACAAGCACUACACAACUAACCCCUAUUGGGGUUUUUGCUUAAGGGGGAUAAUUUUUUAACUUGUUGUUUGCCGUGUGAAUUCUUCGAAAGGCCCUCUGAGCGUUCAUUGUUACUGGUGUGAAUCUCUUGUGCCUGGCUUUAAAAAGGCUGACCAGAAUGUUCUUCGUGUAGCUUACAGCGUUGGUUCGUUUGCUGUGCUUCCUGACCUGGUUUUAUUUCUACCCAUAAUACAAUGAACUGUUUCACUAAUUAAAGAACGUUUCUAUAAAGUUUCAC